AACAAGGUCCGGUUGCACAUAUUAUUUUUGUUUUAAGUCUUUUGGCAAUAAUCAAUGUUAUUUGGCUUUCUACUUUAGGCUUUAGACUAUUAAUCAACGAUUAAAUUAUAGUCUAAAGGCUAAAAUCAAAAGUUUUAAGUCUCGCUUAAAUCCAAAAUAAUUAUUGGUUUAAUCGGGGUCUAAUUAUUUCAAGUAUAGGCGAAAAUGUAUUUGAAAUGCGCUUUUUGUUUGCAAAAUAAUUUAAUUUGCAUUGUAGUAGCUUCAUUUGUCAUAGCAAAUUAUAUAUAAUACAUGUAAAAUAUAUAAACAGAGCAUUAGCAAGCAUUAGCUGCCGACAUGGGUAAGGAAAGGUUAGAAAUAGAGCGAAAUCGAAAUACGAUCUUCUUCGGUUUCUUUCGGGUAAUCUCGGUUCAGUUAUAUACUUUUGAUUGGUGGAUUAACGUUGCGAGCCGCGCCGAACUUCCUGGCGCAGACGCAAGUUCUUCCAUCAUCGCAGAAUAGGUGCUUCAUUUAUGUAUCUUAUAUGUUCUAUGGUACCAUCCCUAAAUUGCGCGCCAUAUUUACUGCGCAACAUAUAUUGCGCAACUGUGCAAGGAGAAUGGGAGAAUCAUCCUGGGACGGUUAAUUUUACGGUAAUUUCUUCAACAUACACAGUGUUGUGUAAACCACGUCGCACGAUCUCGUUGUAUCCGACGCAGAUAAUAUCCGGAUCAUCGGCAAACAGUCCUCGAUUGAAGCACUUUACGAUCAUACAAAUAUUGCAUCCUCUUGCUGGACGUCUCUUAAUUAAAAUGGUUUUACUGAACCUGGAAGCUCCUACGAAUAUACUCGUCUUCUCCCUUGCCAGUCAUACCGUAAUUAUAUCCACCUUCGCCGCCACCUCCGCUGUUUAAGAAUGGAUUUGUUGGAUUGCCAGGACCUGUGCGAAUAAAAAAUUAUAAAGUGGAAGCAUAUAAGCACCGGGUACGGCCAGAUUUCCACCAGCAGUUUGAUAAGUAGCACCGUAACCAGUAUCUUGAUUAGCUAGUUCAUGUAAGCGGGUAGAACUGAGGGCUCUCGGUAUGGCAUUACUUGGUACACCAUGUGGUGCCAAAUGAGUAGCUUCGGCUACUUGAUGUGGAUCUUCCGUUGGAGAUGCGACCGGAGAUGUAAUGAGAACAAAGAUUCUGGAGACAAGAUAGAAUAAACAUCGGAAAUCAUGUAGACAAAUUGAAGAAAAAUGCAAAACUAAAGAAUACAAAGCCAAGAAGCGUUAAAAAAAAUAAAAUAAGACAAAGAAUAAUUGAAUUUUUAAAUAUAAUAAAACGUACAAUAAAAUAAAAACAAAUAGAAAAAUUAAAACUCUGCAGAUAAGGCGAUUUAGAUAAAUAUACAAAUGAUCAAUAGAUGUAAAAAAUGCAAUAAUAUAAAGUCGCUUGGGUUUUCAAUUAACAAUUUGCA